GUACACGCUGUGACUAGCAUAUCAAUAAGCGGAGGAAAAGAAACUAACAAGGAUUCCCCUAGUAACGGCGAGUGAAGCGGGAAGAGCUCAAAUUUGAAAUCUUAAAGGGUUUCCCUUUACGAAUUGUAGUUUAAAGAAGUGUUUUCUGUUGAGGUUUUGGUAAAAGUUCUUUGGAAUAGGACAUCAUAGAGGGUGAGAAUCCCGUAUUUGACCUUUACUUUCAACUUUGUGAUACACUUUCAAAGAGUCGGAUUGUUUGGGAAUGCAGUCCAAAAUGGGUGGUAAAUUUCAUCUAAAGCUAAAUAUUGGCGAGAGACCGAUAGCGAACAAGUACCGUGAGGGAAAGAUGAAAAGAACUUUGAAAAGAGAGUUAAACAGUACGUGAAAUUGUCAAAAGGGAAGCGUUUGACACCAGUGUUGUUUUUCUGAAAAUCAAUUAAAGAACUGUUUAUGCUAAGUUGUUUAGACUUUAUCAGCUAUCUGUUUAGUUUUGAGCUUUUCUUUAAUGCACUUUUCAGUUAACAAGUCAACAUCAAUUUCUUUUGCUGUAAAAAAGCUUGAGGAAGGUGGCUUGAGAUUCGUCUUAAGUGUUUAUAGCCUCUUGCCUAUGCAGUCGGAGAGAUUGAGGUCUGCAGCGUAGAUCCUUCGGGGCUAAAUGCAUUUGUGCUAAGUUAUAGCAUUUUAUAGACAACUUGUUGACUAUGAUUUGUCUUGUAGCUUACUCGCUUAUGUUAUUUUACCUACGCUUAGGAUGUUGACUGAUAUGUAGUCGUA
rnacentral:rRNA from 1 species